rnacentral:rRNA from 1 species
GACGAACCGUGCGAACGUUGUUCGGAAUUACUGGGCGUAAAGCGCGCGUAGGCGGUGAUCUUUGUCAGAGGUGAAAUCCCGAGGCUCAACUUCGGAAUUGCCUUUGAAACGGGAUCGCUUGAGUCCGAGAGAGGAUGGCGGAAUUCCUAGUGUAGAGGUAAAAUUCGUAGAUAUUAGGAAGAACACCGGUGGCGAAGGCGGCCAUCUGGCUCGGUACUGACGCUCAGGCGCGAAAGCGUGGGGAGCAAACAGG